rnacentral:misc_RNA from 1 species
AGCUUCUCGUUCUAAAGCUGAGGAGGCACAAACAUUGCGCCUGUUGUCUUCUGGUUCUAAUGCUGAGCAACCACAAAUAGCUCCUUUGCCGGAUGCUAAUCAGCAGAUCAUUGCACGGUGUGAGCCAGUGCAGAAUGAUGAUAUCAUUAUUGAAGAUCUUAUGCAACGCCAUGAUGUGCUGCUAAAUUCGUUUAGAUCUCGUUUGACAAAGCUGCAGGUAGUUCGUCACUACUGGGAACGGAAUGACAUCAGGGGUGCUUUUGAGGCCUUGAGGAAGUUGUCAGAUUAUUCUGUGCAAGCUGAUGUUGUGAGUGUCCUCGUAGAUAAAAUGGAGAUUAUCACUUUGGAUUUGUUUUCCUUCUUGUUGCCUGUACUGUUAGCCUUACUUGAAACUAAGAUAGAAAGGCAUGCAAAUGUUUCCCUGGAGCUGUUGUUGAAACUUGUUGCAGUCUUU